rnacentral:lncRNA from 1 species
UUAUUUAUCCCAAAAUAGGGAAAGGAAACGCUCAGAAAAACCUGGAAAAGACAUGGUCUCGCGACCAAGAGAAUGGGUUCGGGAGUCGGUUACGCGAGGGGAAGGUAUUAGCACCCCUCACGUCCUAGGUACUCCUAGGGAUCCACGCUUUAGAAAGAUAAGGUUGCUAUAAACAUACAUCACACACACACACGGGGAACGCAGGUGGGGUUAAG